rnacentral:rRNA from 1 species
UAGGAAUCUGCCUUUUGGUGGGGGAUAGCCGGGGGAAACCCCGAUUAAUACCGCAUAUGGCCUAUGGGUCAAAGCCGUAAGGCGCCAGAAGAUGAGCCUGCGUCCGAUUAUUUAGUCCUUGUUGGUGGGGUAACGGCCUACCAAGGGUACGAUCGGUAGCUGGUCUGAGAGGACGAACAGCCACACUGGGACUGAGACACGGCCCAGACUCCGUACGGGAGGCAG